rnacentral:rRNA from 1 species
UAGGGAGGGUGCAAGCGUUGCUCGGAAUUACUGGGCGUAAAGCGCGUGUAGGCGGUCUCGUGUGUCUGGCGUGAAAGCCCCGGGCUCACCCCGGGAAGUGCGUUGGAAACUGCGAGACUGGAGGUCCGGAGAGGAAGGUGGAAUUCCAGGUGUAGCGGUGAAAUGCGUAGAUAUCUGGAAGAACACCGGUGGCGAAGGCGGCCUUCUGGACGGUGACUGACGAUGAGCCGCGAAAUCGUGGGGAGCAAACAGG